GACGAACGCUGGCGGCGUGCUUAACACAUGCAAGUCGAACGGAAAGGCCCUGCUUUUGUGGGGUGCUCGAGUGGCGAACGGGUGAGUAACACGUGAGUAACCUGCCCUUGACUUUGGGAUAACUUCAGGAAACUGGGGCUAAUACCGGAUAGGAGCUCCUGCUGCAUGGUGGGGGUUGGAAAGUUUCGGCGGUUGGGGAUGGACUCGCGGCUUAUCAGCUCGUUGGUGGGGUAGUGGCUUACCAAGGCUUUGACGGGUAGCCGGCCUGGGAGGGUGACCGGCCACAUUGGGACUGAGAUACGGCCCAGGCGCCUACGGGAGGCAGCAGUGGAGAAUAUUGCAAGAUGGGCGGAAGCCUGGUGCAGCAACGCCGCGUGCGGGAUGACGGCCUUCGGGUUGUAAACCGCUUUCGCCUGUGACGAAGCGUGAGUGACGGUAAUGGGGAAAGAAGCACCGGCUACCUACGU
rnacentral:rRNA from 1 species